AUUACAGUUGCCUUUUGGCUUAGAUCAAGUGUAGUAUCUGUUCUUUUCAGUUUAAUCUCUGAAACGAGUCUACGGACUCAUUUAUUGAUUAUACUUAUUUUUGCAACUCGGAAGACGGCCGCUGUGCUUGCACAUGUCGCCCUCCACCGUGUCGCCAGUAUUGCACUGCCUCUGGCUGACGCGAAGCUUU
rnacentral:snRNA from 1 species